GACGAACGCUGGCGGCGCGCUUAACACAUGCAAGUCGAGCGAGAACCAGGGCUUCGGCCCUGGGGACAGCGGCGAACGGGUGAGUAACACGUGGGUAAUCUGCCCUCGGUUCUGGGCUAGCCCGGGGAAACCCGGAUUAAUACCGGAUAGCCUCUCGAGCCCUCGGGCUCGUGAGAAAAGGUAGCUUCGGCCUCCGACCGAGGAGGAGCCUGCGGCGGAUUAGCUUGUUGGCGGGGUAACGGCCCACCAAGGCGACGAUCCGUAGCUGGUCUGAGAGGACGAUCAGCCACACUGGGACUGAGACACGGCCCAGACUCCUACGGGAGGCAGCAGUGGGGAAUCUUGCGCAAUGGGCGAAAGCCUGACGCAGCGACGCCGCGUGAGGGAAGAAGGCCUUCGGGUUGUAAACCUCUUUCAGGAGGGACGAAGCCACUCGGGUUAAUAGCCCAGAGGGUGACGGUACCUCCAGAAGAAGCCCCGGCUAACUACGUGCCAGCCGCCGCAGUAAGAC
rnacentral:rRNA from 1 species